UUUAGUCAGGCAACGAGCGAGACCCACGUCCACAGUUGCCAGCAUAUUCUCCGGAAUGAUGGGUACACUGUGGAGACCGCCGCUGCUAAAGCGGAGGAAGGAGUGGGCAACGGUAGGUCAGUAUGCCCCGAAUCUCCCGGGCUACACGCGGGCUACAAUGGUUGGUACAAUGGGCAUCUACCCCGAAAGGGGAAGGUAAUCUCUUAAAACCAAUCGUAGUUCGGAUUGAGGGCUGCAACUCGCCCUCAUGAAGCUGGAAUCCGUAGUAAUCGCGUACCAACAGAACGCGGUGAAUACGUCCCUGCUCCUUGCACA
rnacentral:rRNA from 1 species